rnacentral:misc_RNA from 1 species
CACAAAUAUGAAAGCAGACCCUCAUUGGGGCGUAACGUCACGCCGUGUCCGCAAUAGCGUCAUUGCUGUUGUGCUGACGCGGCGGGGGGGUAACGCCCUUUUGGGCCAGUCUGACUCCAUAUUCACCCAUGUCUUUUGCGUACUACUUGUUUCCUUGGCGGGUUCGCCCGCCAAUUGGACCCAAUUAAACCUUUUUUGUAAAUGCAAUCAGCGUCAGCAAAACAAUGUAAUAAAUUA